GCAGGAAUAGCUCAGUCAGCAGAGCAUGGGACUCCUAAGCUCAGGGUUGUGGGUUUGAUCUCCACACUGGGCA